rnacentral:tRNA from 1 species
GCCUGCAUGGCUCAGUCAGUUAAGCGUCUGAUUUCAGCUCAGGUCAUGAUCUCACAGUCUGUGGGUCUGAGUCCCGCUUCGGGCU